UACGGAGGGUGCAAGCGUUACUCGGAAUUACUGGGCGUAAAGCGCGCGUAGGCGGUUUGUUAAGUUGGGUGUGAAAUCCCCGGGCUCAACCUGGGAACUGCAUUCAAAACUGACAAGCUAGAGUAUGGUAGAGGGUGGUGGAAUUUCCUGUGUAGCGGUGAAAUGCGUAGAUAUAGGAAGGAACACCAGUGGCGAAGGCGACCCCCUGGACUGAUACUGACACUGAGGUGCGAAAGCGUGGGGAGCAAACAGG
rnacentral:rRNA from 1 species